GAUUAGUUUGAUCCUGGCUCAGGACGAACGCUGGCGGCGUGCCUAAUACAUGCAAGUCGAGCGGACAGAUGGGAGCUUGCUCCCUGAUGUUAGCGGCGGACGGGUGAGUAACACGUGGGUAACCUGCCUGUAAGACUGGGAUAACUCCGGGAAACCGGGGCUAAUACCGGAUGGUUGUUUGAACCGCAUGGUUCAGACAUAAAAGGUGGCUUCGGCUACCACUUACAGAUGGACCCGCGGCGCAUUAGCUAGUUGGUGAGGUAACGGCUCACCAAGGCGACGAUGCGUAGCCGACCUGAGAGGGUGAUCGGCCACACUGGGACUGAGACACGGCCCAGACUCCUACGGGAGGCAGCAGUAGGGAAUCUUCCGCAAUGGACGAAAGUCUGACGGAGCAACGCCGCGUGAGUGAUGAAGGUUUUCGGAUCGUAAAGCUCUGUUGUUAGGGAAGAACAAGUGCCGUUCAAAUAGGGCGGCACCUUGACGGUACCUAACCAGAAAGCCACGGCUAACUACGUGCCAGCAGCCGCGGUAAUACGUAGGUGGCAAGCGUUGUCCGGAAUUAUUGGGCGUAAAGGGCUCGCAGGCGGUUUCUUAAGUCUGAUGUGAAAGCCCCCGGCUCAACCGGGGAGGGUCAUUGGAAACUGGGGAACUUGAGUGCAGAAGAGGAGAGUGGAAUUCCACGUGUAGCGGUGAAAUGCGUAGAGAUGUGGAGGAACACCAGUGGCGAAGGCGACUCUCUGGUCUGUAACUGACGCUGAGGAGCGAAAGCGUGGGGAGCGAACAGGAUUAGAUACCCUGGUAGUCCACGCCGUAAACGAUGAGUGCUAAGUGUUAGGGGGUUUCCGCCCCUUAGUGCUGCAGCUAACGCAUUAAGCACUCCGCCUGGGGAGUACGGUCGCAAGACUGAAACUCAAAGGAAUUGACGGGGGC
rnacentral:rRNA from 1 species